rnacentral:rRNA from 1 species
AUUGAACGCUGGCGGCAGGCUUAACACAUGCAAGUCGAGCGAGUGGCGGACGGGUGAGUAAUGUAUGGGGAUCUGCCCGAUAGAGGGGGAUAACUACUGGAAAAGGUGGCUAAUACCGCAUACUAUCGGAUGUGCCCAUAUGGGAUUAGCUAGUAGGUGGGGUAAAGGCUCACCUAGGCGACGAUCCUUAGCUGGUCUGAGAGGACAACCAUCAACACUGGGACUGAGACACGGCCCAGACGCCUACGGGAGGCAGCAUUGGGGAAUAUUGGACAAUGGGAGGAAUCCUGAUGCAGCCAUGCCGCGUGUAUGAGGAAGGCCUUAGGGGUGUAAAGUACUUUCGGCGGGGAGGCGUUACCCGCAGAAGAAGCACCGGCUAACUCCGUGCGAGCAGCCGCGGUAAGAC